rnacentral:misc_RNA from 1 species
GAAACAUUUGAAUGGACAAGAAAUACAUGAUUACAUUAUAUUAUUUAUAAAAAAAUAAUAUAAUAUUUAAUAUAAUAAUUCCUAGUCUAGAAGUAAUCCCACUUGUCUAUCUCUAGCGUAUAUAUAAGUACAUUAGGAGGUCUAAUCAUAAAAGUAUAUCAUCUUAUUGAUCAUAAUCAAGUUCCAAAUUACUCGUUUGUGAGGUUUCAAAGUUUAUUACAUGCCUGUUUCAGAUCUUGGACUGGAGGGAGCAUGCUUGGGACAGGUUCAGAAGUUGUCAUUGUCUUUCAACAAUUAAAAAGUCAGUUUCAUCAUUUCAUUGGAGUUAAUUCAAAAAUUAGAUAUAUGCUUCAUUGUUUACAAAAGCCCCCCAAAACAACUGAUCAUGCAAGAGCCAGAAGUGAUAUAUAAAAACUCUAGAAAAUAGAGAAGAGGCAAGACACAUAUUUGUGAACCCAUGUGUACUGUUGAGCAGGCUAGCAGCAAGAUGGAAUGUAA